CCUACGGGUGGCAGCAGUGGGGAAUAUUGGGCAAUGGGCGCAAGCCUGACGCAGCAACGCCGCGUGAAGGAAGAAGGCUUUCGGGUUGUAAACUUCUUUUCUCAGGGACGAAGAAAGAGACGGUACCUGAGGAAUAAGCCACGGCUAACUACGCGCCAGCAGCCGCGGUAAUACGUAGGUGGCAAGCGUUAUCCGGAUUUACUGGGUGGAAAGGGCGUGUAGGCGGGACGGCAAGUCAGAUGUGAAAGCCCCGGGCUCAACCUGUGGACUGCAUUUGAAACUGUCGUUCUUGAGUGCUGGAGAGGCAAGCGGAAUUCCUAGUGUAGCGGUGAAAUGCGUAGAUAUUAGGAGGAACACCAGUGGCGAAGGCGGUUUACUGGACAGUAACUGACGCUGAGGCGCGAAAGCGUGGGGAGCAAACAGGAUUAGAUACCCGUGUAGUC
rnacentral:rRNA from 1 species